rnacentral:lncRNA from 1 species
CUAAUAGCAGCAACUACAACGGUACAACAAUUCCGACUCUUCGUAAUAAUUGAAGAUGAAGAACACGAGGCGUCCCUAGCGUCCCUUCUGGAGAAAGGAGAUGGACAAUCAAGAUUUAGUCUGCAUCAAUUCAAUCGCCUACUGCCCUAUUAUCUCUUCCGAUUCAUUGCUUCACCACUCAACAGUUCAGCGCUUCUCUUGCCCUCUCUCUCGAUAAAUCAAUAGCUUCUCCAGUUCUCAUAUAUUCUUCUUUCUUUCUUUCUUGAAUCGUCCUCUACUAAAUGUCUGAAUCGUCCCUACUAGUUUAUCUAUUGCUCUAAUUCUAUUGUGCUAAAGACUUAAAGUGAAGAUUCAAAGGUGGAUACAGCGAUUGAAUGAAUUCUUCUCCUCCUAAGGUCCUAAUCCGGUAAGUUUUUUCUAGUAUUUCAAAUUUCUUGCAUAACCUAGUUGAAUAAUGAAUACUUUAUGUUUCGAAAAUUUGAUAGUGAGUAUUGGUUAAAUUUUUUGAAAUUUCAGUUUUUUUAUUAAGGUUCCUGGAGUCUGGAGAAGUGAAAUUUUCGAUCCAACUCAUCCAAAAUUGCAGACUUGCAGUGUUGUUGAUCCUGGAUUACACUAAGCUUCAUUAAUUUUCCAGGUAAUUUCUUUCUUCUCUUGUGAUUUAUGAUCAAAUUAAGUUGCUGAUAUUUUUAGUUAAUUUCUGAAAUAAAGUUAUCACAAUUGCUGGAAAUCUGAUGUAGUGAUAUGUAUGAACCUGAUUUUGAUUUUUCUGAGAUGUGAAUUCAUUCUGAAUAAUUGGAUUUAUAUAAUCUGUUGAUUUCUGAAUUUUUGAAAAUCUAAUGGUUUUCUGAAAUCUGAAUAAUCUUAUUGUGAUGUGUCUAAUAAGUGCAAUGAUACUGUACAAAUAAGUGCAAUGAUACUGUACAAAUCUCUUUUAGCUCAUAUUGUCAAGGGAUGAGAUUUUUCUGAUUUGAUAGUUCAAUGCCUUCCUUCACUAUUGAUAUUCCAGAAUUGAUCAAGUUGUUCACUUUGAAGAUCGUGGGAGGGUAAGCACUUCAAGAUUACUUCUAUGAUGAGGCAUGACUAGGUUUUAUGAUCCUUAAAUAAUAUUAAAGUUGUAUAGAACAAUUUAUCAUGUGGUUUUUAGUCUUAAUGAGAUUUUUAAUUUGUCUAAAUAUGAUUUUGUAAAUAAAAAGAUGUGUUUAGUUUGUUUUAGAUUUUGUUUUACAUAGUUUUUGUACAUUUAUAGGGGCAUUGUUAAGCCUCAUGGCCCAGGGCAACAAAAACCUAUGGACCGGCCCUGUACAAGCCCUUUAAAUGCAAAAAAUAGUCACGGUGGACCAUUUAAAAUAAUAUACGAAAGAUAGUUGGGCUACAGUAACAAUUUUCCUAAAAAAUAAAAUAAUUGUUUUGACCUUUUAAAUUUUUCUAUGAAAAGUUUUAUAUAUUUUUAGUCAUAUUUUAUAACGGUGACAGAUUUGUAUAAAAACAAAACUAUUUUAGCCAAAUAUUACCGAUUCAAGAGACAACAUAUUUUGUUGAAUAACUUAUUAUAUUUUCUUUCUUAAAUCAAUUAUUUUAGAAUUUAAAAUGUUUUGGAAAAAAAAUUAUGAACCAAAAGGCAGACAUUAAAUUGUUAUUUUUGUUUUACUAUUAUAUCUUAUGAAAUAUUGUGUUAUUAUUAGUCUUUUGGGUUAGUAUCUUAAAAAGUGGUAAUAAGAGGAAUCGAACUUUAUGUUUGUCUAGAUGAAAAAAAAACGCCUUUACCAAGUGGGAGUUUGGGAGUGCCUUUUAAAAUGAAUUAUUAGUUUAUUGGGUUUUCAAAAAGCCAAUAAGUUAAAAAAUUGCUUUGUAAAAACACUAACUUUAUAGGAAAAAAAGGGUUUCUCCAAAAAACCAUGAAUUCCUAACUUUUCAAAAAGCCAAUAAAUACUUUGAGAAUCAAUCCCAAACAUGCUAACCAGACGACACCUUGAUAAAUACUUUAAAAUGAAGAAGUAAUUUUGGUCCCCAAUUGCCGUGAGGGCCUAUUGGGAUGGGCCUAUCCAAACACCCAUUUAGGUAGAGGUGCACAAAAUUAGGGUAGAUGUGCACAAAAAACCGGUUCAUGAUCCGAAACCGGUUUGGAUGAAAUCGGUUCGGUUUGAAAUAGACCUACUAUCGGUUUGGACCUGUUUAAAGUUCUAGCCAUUAAAAUAGGUUUGGGACCGGUUUGACAGAAACAUGCUUUGAUGCAUAAAUAUUUAGCAUGGAGGUUAAUAUACUUUCUAGUUUCUAUUGUAAGCAAACUUCAAGCAGAGGCACCAAAAUAUCAGGACACCAGAAACUCCAAGUGAGGGUAAAAUGGUCAAUAUAAGGAAAACACUCCCCACAGCAAUCUUGGCAACAAACAGCAAAUUCAGAAAAUCCAAGUGAGGGUAGUUUUUUUCCCAGGUAACUUUUUUGUCCCCUGUGUGUUUUUAACUUAGCUAUUUUCAGCUUUAUGUGUCUUUUUAAACUUUGUGUUUUGUGUAUUGUUUAUAUUCAAGUAGCUGCAGAAAGCACAUUAGAGUGGGAUUUCUUCUUCUUUAUGUCCCCUGUAACGAGAAUCAAGACACAAACAGUGGCGGAUUUAGUGCAUCACAAGUGGGGUUUUGAUCCGGUUUGUAUACAGUUUCAAUCUGAUCAGGUUUCAGCUUAAACCGGUUUUGAGUUUGUUGACUUAAACCCAACUGGUAUUACAACCAAUCCAAUUUCCAAAAAAAAAAAAAAAUACUGUUUGUGUACCUCUACAUUUAGGUGUUAAACAAAAUUGGCAAAUUCGUUUCCAUUUAUUUGUUAUUAAACCUAUAAAAAACAGAUGUCUCAAUCUCUGAACAUCUAAUCUCGUGUCUGAGUGCAUACCUUUUUUACUUGUACAAUAUUUCGGUCAACGUCGUGAAGUGUUUCAUUCAUAUCACCCCAAUUAAAAAUAGCCAUUGAAAUUAAGAUGACUAAUAACACUACUGGUAAAAU